rnacentral:rRNA from 1 species
AUGGGAGGUUUUGCUUGUGCUCAUGCAGAGAAGAGGCAUCGCCUGGAUAGAACUUUGAACGGUCCUAGCAAGAAGGGCUACGUGGGAAGCUGUUGCGCCAAGUACAAGCCGUUCAGCUUCAGCGCCCUGUUACCUCCUCAAGGUUUGGGGGGCAAGAUCCUCUACGUGAAGCUUGUCCUCCUCGUUCUCAUGUGCGGCUCCUUCAUGGGCCUCCUCCACUCGCCGUCGAUCCACCAUGGCGGCGACCAACGCAGCACACAGUCGCCGGAAAUGUCAAAGGUGGUGCGGACGUCCGACGCCGACGAGCCGGACUCGGGUUACACGUCGGACUUGAGGGUCGACUGGUCGAGCGUCUCCAUGGCGGUGCAACGGGUCGCUCGAGAAGGAGAUGGUGGAUUGCGUGUGGGGAUCCUGAAUUUCGACGGGGAUGAGAUGGGCCAAUGGAGGACGCUGCUGCCGGCGGCCUCCGAGGUGCACCUGGACCGCGUCGCAAGCAACGUCACCUGGGCGCACCUGUACCCGGAGUGGAUCGACGAGGAGGAGCUGUACCACGCGCCGGUGUGCCCGGACCUGCCGGAGCCGUCGUCGGCCCCCGAGGGAGGGUACGACGUCGUUGCGGUGAAGCUCCCGUGCAGUGGCGCGGCGGGCUGGUCCAAGGACGUGCCGCGGUUGCACCUGCAGCUUGCCGCCGCGCGGCUCGCCGCGGGCCGGUCGGAGGAGCGUGGCCGGCGGGCGGCGGCGCACGUGAUCGUCGUCAGCCGGUGCUUCCCGGCCCCGAACCUGUUCAGCUGCAAGCACGAGGUCAUGCGUGACGGCGACGUGUGGCUGUACAGACCCGACAUGGGCGAGCUCCGGCAGAAGCUCGCCCUCCCCGUCGGAUCCUGCAGGCUCGCCAUGCCGCUCAGAGCACUCGGGGAGGCGUACGUGUCUGCGGCGCCGCGGCGACAGGCGUACGCGACGAUCCUGCACUCGGAGCAGCUGUACGCGUGCGGCGCCAUGGUGGCGGCACAGAGCAUCCGGAUGGCGGGGUCGGACCGGGACAUGGUGGCCCUGGUGGACGAGACCAUCAGCGAGCGGCACCGGCGCGCGCUGGAGGCGGCCGGGUGGAAGGUGCGGACGAUCCGGCGGAUCCGGAACCCGCGCGCGUCGCGGGACGCCUACAACGAGUGGAACUACAGCAAGUUCUGGCUGUGGACGCUGACGGAGUACGACCGGGUGGUGUUCCUGGACGCCGACCUGCUGGUGCAGCGCCCCAUGGAGCCGCUCUUCGUCAUGCCGGAGGUGAGCGCCACGGGGAACCACGGCACGGUCUUCAACUCGGGCGUCAUGGUGGUGGAGCCCUGCAACUGCACCUUCCGGCUGCUCAUGGACCACAUCGCCGACAUCGAGUCCUACAACGGCGGCGACCAGGGGUACCUCAACGAGGUCUUCUCCUGGUGGCACCGCCUGCCGUCGCGCGCCAACUACAUGAAGCACUUCUGGGAGGGCGACACCGCGGAGCGCGCCGCCGCCAAGCGCCGCGUCCUCGCCGCCGACCCGCCCGCCGUCCUUGCCGUGCACUUCGUCGGGAUGAAGCCCUGGUUCUGCUUCAGGGACUACGACUGCAACUGGAACGCGCCCGAGCUCAGGCAGUUCGCCAGCGACGAGGCGCACGCGAGGUGGUGGACGGCGCACGACGCCAUGCCGCCGCGCCUCCAGGGCUUCUGCCUCCUCGACGAGAGGCAGAAGGCGCUGCUGCGGUGGGACGUUGUAGAGGCCGGGAAGGCCAACUUCUCCGACGGGCACUGGAGGGACAGGAUCGUUGAUCCUCGCAAGAGCAUCUGCGCCGGCGCCGGCGUGGAGGGGUGCCGCAGGAGGGAGAUCGAGGGCAGGCGGGUGGAAGGGAACAGGGUCACCACGUCCUACGCCAAGCUCAUCGACAACUUCUGA